GACGAACGCUGGCGGCGUGCUUAACACAUGCAAGUCGAACGAAGCGGCGAACGGGUGAGUAACGCGUAAUCAACCGGCCCUUCAGAGGGGGACAACAGUUGGAAACGACUGCUAAUACCGCAUACUGAAGGAGGGGAUUUCGUAUGAUUAGCUAGCUGGAGGGGUAACGGCCCAUCAAGGCGAUGAACAGUAGCCGGUCUUGGUGGGUGAACGGCCAGCGUGGGACUGAGACGCGGCACAGACUCCUACGGGGGGCAGCAGUGGGGGAGCUGCCGCAAUGGACGAAAGUCUGACGGAGCAACGCCGCGUGAGUGAUGACGGCCUUCGGGUUGUAAAGCUCUGUUAAUCGGGACGCGGUACCGGAAUAGGAAGCCACGGCUAACUACGUGCCAGCAGCCGCGGUAAUAC
rnacentral:rRNA from 1 species